GAGUGGAAGAUGGCGGAGGCUGCGGGCGGGUCGCGGGUACGCGGCCUCUCCCGCCCCUACGGGCUCCGCGCUCCGGGAGACUCGGCCGGAGCCGCGACGGAUGGCCCGCCCCGUCCCCUGCCGCGGCGCGGCGCCUCCUGAUCUCCCGCACCCCCGAGGGGAAGCGGUGAAGUUUGCCUGUCCUUCGGGUACUUUGAGGGUGGAGACGGCCGCGGGUCAGCAGAUGCUGGCAACGCCGCGGCUCGCUCCCCACCUGGCUUCGGGAGAAUGGAACAGCCCAGGGCGCGUCUUAACCUGAAUCCCUGUUUAUCUCAGCCGUGCGGUUCUGUGAGGCUCAUGGAUCCUCAGCAGUGAAACACCUUGACAGGACUAGAAAUGGCGCGGUUGAGAAACCGUGACACCUCGUUUUUACGCACGAGGUCUUACAACGUGUGUGUCUACCCAUUCAUUCUUCAUCGGAAACGCUCUAUUAGGCUUUUUCAUCAGAGAGAGACAGCGAGAGCUAGUACCGUGAGGAACGAAGCCUGGCGUGAUGGUUUACGACAGUACUUCCUAAAUGCAGGCAGGAGGGUUGCUCCGAGUUCGAAGGCAGCCUGAGCGACUUUUAUAACCCCAUUUGCCCAGUGCCAAAAGAAAUGGAGCCAGGAGUGGAAAACAAGUGAAAGGGACACCCAACUUAAGUUUGGUAUUGCAUUAAGAACUAGAAGCUCGGGCUGGUGAGAUGGCUCAGUGGGUAAGAGCACCCGACUGCUCUUUCGAAGGUCCGAAGUUCCCAGCAACCACAUGGUGGCUCACAACCACCCGUAAUGAGAUCUGAUGCCCUCUUCUGGUGCGUCUGAAGACAGCUACAGUGUACUUACAUAUAUAAUAAAUAAAUAAAUCUU
rnacentral:lncRNA from 1 species